rnacentral:lncRNA from 1 species
GCCAGAGUUGAGUUUCUGACAACACACUGAACCUACAGAAAGACAUUACACUAAGAGUGAAAAAAAACAGGCGCAACAGCUUAAAGGUGGCAUUAGCAAGUGGACACUCAAUUACAGAAGAGGUCACUGGAGACCCUCCAAGCCAUAGUUUAGACAUGGACAUGCUUUGGCAGUGACAGGCAACAGAGCAUUCAUGUUUGGAAGCUGUUCCAUUGAUAACACCUUUCAGUCACUCUCACUGAUUUGACUUGGGAGAGGAUACUGCAGCAGGGACAUAUUCCUUGUAGUGGAGAAGAACAUACAUUUUGUAUAGGAAAAGGAAAGUUACAUUUAUUUGAAGGAUGUUCUACCAAAAAUGCUGAAGAUUGUCUUCCAGGAGCCUACAGCUUUGCUCUUAGAAACAUGUCUCGCAAUGCUGCAACAAGAUACUUGAGUACCAGAGAAACUCUUUCCAAACUUAGAAAAAAUUGCAACUGG